CAGCCGCCGCGGUAAAACGUAGGGUGCAAGCGUUAAUCGGAAUUACUGGGCGUAAAGCGUGCGCAGGCGGUUAUAUAAGACAGAUGUGAAAUCCCCGGGCUCAACCUGGGAACUGCAUUUGUGACUGUAUAGCUAGAGUACGGCAGAGGGGGAUGGAAUUCCGCGUGUAGCAGUGAAAUGCGUAGAUAUGCGGAGGAACACCGAUGGCGAAGGCAAUCCCCUGGGCCUGUACUGACGCUCAUGCACGAAAGCGUGGGGAGCAAACAGGAUUAGAUACCCCCGUAGUCCCUGUCUCUUAUAC
rnacentral:rRNA from 1 species